UUUUGAUUCUGGUACCAUGGCUCCAACUGCCUCCCUUGGUUGGGUGUGCAAGAUCCCACAGAAUUCCUUUGAAGAAGAGCAGGGGAAUUAUCCUUGAUGGUGUACGGAGUCUUAUGGAUGCCCACCUCUUUGCUAAAUUUGUUUGAAAUUUAUUCCAUUGCCAACGCCACACUACAUGAUGGAGGGAAUCAUCAAUAUGAAGUGAAAUGAAGGUUUCUCUCAUUCCUUUAAAGGCCUUCCACUACCAGAAUGGUCUCAAAAUUAACCAGGUUUGCAGCUUUGGUCAGGCUGUCUGUCUCCUGUUAUGGAACAUUCCAACAUGGAGCUUGGAUGUGGGAGAGUGAGAAGAAAGGAAAGAUACUUUUACGUGGCACCUGUCACAACUUCCUAAAGUGCUUCAUGACCAAUAAAUCAGUCUUCAAAUGUAA